GGGGGUGAACAGGGGUCGACAGAGAUAAUCUAUGUAUUAAUGGCAGGUCGCAGUUAGUCGAAGGCUGCGUUAAAAUUCGACUACUACAAAUAAGUGCAAAUACUUAUGCAUAUGCUGCCUAAUUAGAGGCAACAACACUACUGUUUGACGCCUAUAGAACAGAUAGUGUUCAAAAUAGGCUUAUUAUCAAGUAAUUGUCUCAUGUUGCUUGGUAAGAAAAUUUUUAUGGGACUGGUCUUGUGAUACUUGUCUGAAGUGAAUCACAAGAUGAGAUAAAAAUCAGACUAAGCCUGUAGUCAUGAUACAUAGAUAUUUCUGGACGCGGGUUCAAUUCCCGCCACCUCCACCA
rnacentral:tmRNA from 1 species